UGCCCGGUAGCCAAGCGGUAAGGCAGGGGCCUUUGAAGCCUCCACGCGCAGGUUCGAAUCCUGCCCGGGCAA
rnacentral:tRNA from 1 species